rnacentral:rRNA from 1 species
GUAGGGAAUAUUGCGCAAUGGACGAAAGUCUGACGCAGCGACGCCGCGUGAGUGAUGAAGGCCUUAGGGUCGUAAAGCUCUGUUGAAUGGGAAGAAAAAAAUGACGGUACCAUUCGAGGAAGGACCGGCUAACUUCGUGCCAGCAGCCGCGGUAAUACGAGGGGUCAUAGCGUUGUUCGGAUUCAUUGGGCGUAAAGGGUGUGUAGGUGGCCAUGUAAGUCAGGUGUGAAAGCCCCGGGCUCAACCCGGGCAGUGCACUUGAUACUGCGUGGCUUGAGUACCGAAGAGGGUAGUGGAAUUCCAGGUGUAGUGGUGAAAUACGUAGAUAUCUGGAGGAACACCGGUGGCGAAGGCGGCUACCUGGUCGAGUACUGACACUGAGACACGAAAGCAUGGGGAUCAAACAGGAUUAGAUACCCGGGUAGUCC